rnacentral:rRNA from 1 species
UGGGGAAUUUUGGACAAUGGGCGAAAGCCUGAUCCAGCAAUGCCGCGUGUGUGAAGAAGGCCUUCGGGUUGUAAAGCACUUUUGUCCGGAAAGAAAUGGCUCUGGUUAAUACCUGGGGUCAAUGACGGUACCGGAAGAAUAAGGACCGGCUAACUACGUGCCAGCAGCCGCGUAAUACGUAGGGUCCAAGCGUUAAUCGGAAUUACUGGGCGUAAAGCGUGCGCAGGCGGUUGUGCAAGACCGAUGUGAAAUCCCCGAGCUUAACUUGGGAAUUGCAUUGGUGACUGCACGGCUAGAGUGUGUCAGAGGGGGGUAGAAUUCCACGUGUAGCAGUGAAAUGCGUAGAGAUGUGGAGGAAUACCGAUGGCGAAGGCAGCCCCCUGGGAUAACACUGACGCUCAUGCACGAAAGCGUGGGGAGCAAACAGGAUUAGAUACCCUGGUAGUCCACGCCCUAAACGAUGUCAACUAGUU